AGCAGGACACACCUGAUUCUAAUUAAGGGUCACACUACUUAACCGUGCUGGUGCAGCUUGACGGCGCCGGAGCUUUGUACUGAGUUACCACAGCCACGUCUUCCGUGGUCUCGCAGGAGAAAGUACUCGUCUUUUACAUGCCCGAUUUCCCAGGUCUGCCCAGUACUUCCUAGUCUUGCCUAGAGUCCUUAUUUUUGUACUUUGAUUUUCUUUGUCGUUUUGGCGUGCUAGUUUUUGCUGCCAUAACCUUCUUUUUUGCUGCCUUAUUGUGUUUCCCUCACAAUAAAGAGGAAUACUUUUUGCCAAACGCUGACUGUCCCUGCAUUUUUGGGAUGGACAACACCCGCAGGUGCUGUACACAAAUGGCGCAUUGCAAAGCAAGCGGUGGACAGGGACAUAAACAUGUCAUCAGAUGGUUCAAUUUGGCGUCCAACUGUGAAGGUGGUCGUUUGGACUAAGAUUUGCAGGUCUGCAGCUCAGAAGCAUAGACUGAAUGAUGAACUGUGAGACCUGUAUACAGGAGCCAGUUUGUUCAAGUAUGUUGCUGUGUUUCAAGGUUUAGGUUACAAUGUGUUUGUUGAACAUGCUAAUGUGAUCUCAAAUGUAUGGAGGG